rnacentral:rRNA from 1 species
UGGGGAAUUUUGGACAAUUGGGCGAAAGCCUGAUCCAGCAAUGCCGCGUGUGUGAAGAAGGCCUUCGGGUUGUAAAGCACUUUUGUCCGGAAAGAAAUCCUUGGCUCUAAUACAGUCGGGGGAUGACGGUACCGGAAGAAUAAGCACCGGCUAACUACGUGCCAGCAGCCGCGGUAAUGCGUAGGGUGCAANCGUUAAUCGGAAUUNCUGGGCGUAAAGCGUGCGCAGGCGGUUUGCUAAGACCGAUGUGAAAUCCCCGGGCUCAACCUGGGAACUGCAUUGGUGACUGGCAGGCUAGAGUAUGGCAGAGGGGGGUAGAAUUCCACGUGUAGCAGUGAAAUGCGUAGAGAUGUGGAGGAAUACCGAUGGCGAAGGCAGCCCCCUGGGCCAAUACUGACGCUCAUGCACGAAAGCGUGGGGAGCAAACAGGAUUAGAUACCCUGGUAGUCCACGCCCUAAACGAUGUCAACCAGUUGUU